UUUUGAAGUACCUCAGGGGUUAGAAUAUUAUUUUCAUACGGCAGUAGUCUUUGGUUCAAAUCCAAUUGUAGAU
rnacentral:tRNA from 1 species